rnacentral:sRNA from 1 species
AAAACAUGAGUGACUCCAAGGAACCAAGGGUGCAGCAGCUGGACCUCCUAGUGUACAAGGUCCCCAGCUCCCUAAGUCAGGAACAAUCCGAGCAAGACACAAUCUACCAGAAUCUGACCCAGAUUAAAGCUGCAGUGGGUGAGCUCUCAGAGAAAUCCAAGCUGCAGGAGAUCUACCAAGAGCUGACCCAGCUGAAGGCUGCAGUGGGUGAGUUGCCAGAGAAAUCCAAGCUGCAGGAGAUCUACCAGGAGCUGACCCAGCUGAAGGCUGCACUUGGUGAAUUGCCAGACCAGUCCAAGCAGCAGCAAAUCUAUCAAGAACUGACCGAUUUGAAGACUGCAUUUGGUGAGUUCCUGUACAUUGGGGGUCCUCGGGCCUGAGAUGGUCUCUGUGUGAUGUGACUUUACUUGAGUUACCAACACUGGCUGAGCCUCAGUUUCCUCCCCUGUGAAAUGAGAACAAAGGGUAACUGCGAUCAUUGCACUUGGUGUUCACAGUGGGCCAGGCACACAGUAGGCACUCAGUUCAACCAAUCCGCUGCCUUCUGUUCUGAGCUCUAAAGCUGCUACUUCUCCCAGUCUGGAGGAGAUGGAGCCAGGACUCCUGGGUUCUCCUGGGGAUCAGGGAGAGUCUUGGGAAGUAGGGAGAGGAAUGGUCUCUCCCCAUUCCAAACCAUCCACCCGACAUGGACAGUCAAGGAAGGGCUCUGAUUUUCAAGGGCUUGAAGGCUGGGCAGAUACGGGAAUAUGGACAACCUAAUCUGAGCCCAGCCCUGAUCAGCCUCCCCCAACAGAACGCCUGUGCUGCCACUGUCCCAAGGACUAGACAUUCUUCCAAGGAAACUGUUACUUCAUGUCUAACUCCCAGAGGAACUGGCACGACUCUGUCACCGCCUGCCAGGAAGUGAGGGCCCAGCUCGUCAUAAUCAAAAGUGCUGAGGAGCAGGUACACCUGGUGGGGUCCUCAUCCUGGCCUGGGGCAUGGCUUCUGGCCAACUAGGGAGGAGGUGCUCAGAGAGGAUUUUGCAGAAGAGGGGCUUUGCUCUAUUAGGAAAGAUGAGAAGAGAAGGAUAUGAAUGAAGGGGUCCCAGGUACCCUUCAAGCAAAUACAAACCAGAUCUGAACACAUGUGAAUAUUUUGGGGGAAACGUCAAAUGUAAGCAAACCACCGUGGCGUGCUGCAAGUGUUUAACAACCAGCUCUCCGGAGGGAAAAUUCCUGAUGUGUUGUGUUUGCCAAUUCCCCCGGUGUAAAUAUUCCCACCGCGGCUGAUUUCAAGCUGUCGAUGUGCUGUCACUCAGUGCGGAGCUGAAAGGAGAUGUGCUGGGCCAGCAGUUAGUAAUGGGUCCAGUCUGGCUCCAGUACAUGAAACCCGGUCAGGAGUAAAUUCCUGUGGACAUGCACAGCACAUGCAAAAUAGAUAAACAUGCAGCAUUCACAGGAGCGUGUGAGGAGAGGCCAGCUGUGCAUGCAUGCCUGCAUGUCAGGACACACAUGCCAUGGGGAUACAGAUGUGAGAGGGGCUCAGACAUGAGGAGGCUCAGGACCUGGUAUAUCAGAAAACUGCAGGUUAACUUGAAAGCAGAACUUUCUGCCAAGAGACGGGGAGGUGGAACCUGGAAAAUGGGAAGCAGAGCUCCCUCCUGACUCCUCCUCUACCCUCCAGAACUUCCUACAGCUGCAGACUUUGAGGAGUAACCGCUUCUCCUGGAUGGGACUUUCAGACCUAAAUCAGGAAGGCACGUGGCAAUGGGUGGAUGGCUCACCUCUGUCACCCAGGUAGAUUCUGGGAGAAAGGGACACUGUAUCCAAUGGGGCUGGGUUCCUGCAACUCUGACUUGAGCUUUCCCUGGGGGUCCCCCCCAACCUCCCUGACCCCAUAGGACUAAGAGUCUAGGGUUUUCACUGAAUUGAGGAAGGUGGUCUUCAUACCCACCUCCAGACAGGAUGAAAGGUGCCUAGAAUUCCACCAGCAGAGCUGCAGGAGGAGCUUGCCCUGUGGGUGGGUGUGUUAAAAUACAGUGUAUUAAUAGGAAGUCUGAAGUCUAGUAAGGCCACCAGCUCAGGAGACAAUUGCCAUUUACACAAAGUGAGUAGCUUAUCCUACCCACAGGUUCCUAGAGGGUGCACAUUUCACAGCAGGGGGCCACCUGGGGAAGCACCAGGGUCUGUCAUGAGGGAAAGUCUUGGAGGGGACUGUGAGCCAGAGCCUUUAUUACGGUUUGUAUGGGAAGAAAAGGGCAAGGCCAGGCAAGCAGGCUUAAGAUGGGCAGAUAUGAAGCAUUCUGUGGGCUCUGGGGCAUAGAGGCUGCCUAGCUGCCUGACACCUGGCCUUGGGGUGAUUAGGGCAGAAGGAUAGUGGCUUGGAGUGCAAAAGCCCGAUAAGGCAGGUGGUUGGCAGUACAGACCCCAGACUGGUUGGUUUUAAAAUCACACUCUCGGCCAGGCGCAGUGGCUCAUGCCUAUAAUUCCGGCACUUUGGGAGGUCAAGGAGGGUGGAUCACGAGGUCAAGAGAUCAAAAUUAUGCUGGCCAACACGGUGAAACCCCGUCUCUACUACAAAUACAAAAAUUAGCUGGGUGUGGUGGCGUGCACCUGUAGUCCCAGCUACUCAGAAGCCUGAGGCAGGAGAAUCACUUGAGCCCAGGAGGCGGAGGUUGCAGUGAGCCAAGAUCAUGCCACUGCACUCCAGCCUGGCAACAGAGCGAGACUCUGUCUC